UACGGAGGGUGCAAGCGUUGCUCGGAAUCACUGGGCGUAAAGGGUGCGUAGGCGGGUCUUUAAGUCAGGGGUGAAAUCCUGGAGCUCAACUCCAGAACUGCCUUUGAUACUGAAGAUCUUGAGUUCGGGAGAGGUGAGUGGAACUGCGAGUGUAGAGGUGAAAUUCGUAGAUAUUCGCAAGAACACCAGUGGCGAAGGCGGCUCACUGGCCCGAUACUGACGCUGAGGCACGGAAGCGUGGGGAGCAAACAGG
rnacentral:rRNA from 1 species